rnacentral:rRNA from 1 species
GCGCGGGGGCAACCCUGGCGGCGAGCGGCGAACGGGUGAGUAAUGCAUCGGAACGUGUCCUUUUGUGGGGGAUAACCAGUCGAAAGACUGGCUAAUACCGCAUGAGCUCGUAAGAGGAAAGCAGGGGACCCGCAAGGGCCUUGCGCGAGAGGAGCGGCCGAUGCCCGAUUAGCUAGUUGGUGGGGUAAAAGCCCACCAAGGCGACGAUCAGUAUCCGGUCUGAGAGGACGGUCGGACACACUGGAACUGAGACACGGUCCAGACUCCUACGGGAGGCAGCAGUGGGGAAUUUUUCGCAAUGGGGGCAACCCUGACGAAGCAACGCCGCGUGGAUGAUGAAGUAUCUCGGUACGUAAAAUCCUUUCGACAGGGAAGAAACCCGCAAGGGUUGACGGUACCUGUAGAAGAAGCCCCGGCUAACUCCGUGCCAGCAGCCGCGGUAAUACGGGGGGGGCGAGCGUUGUUCGGAAUUACUGGGCGUAAAGGGCGCGUAGGCGGUCUGCUAAGUUGGGUGUGAAAACUCUGGGCUUAACCCAGAGCCUGCAUUCAAAACUGACAGGCUAGAGUUCUGGAGGGGAUAGCGGAAUUCCUGGUGUAGCGGUGAAAUGCGUAGAUAUCAGGAGGAACACCGGUGGCGAAGGCGGCUAUCUGGACAGAGUCUGACGCUGAGGCGCGAAAGCUAGGGGAGCAAACAGGAUUAGAUACCCUGGUAGUCCACGCCGUAAACGUUGGGA